CACCAAGAAGUUAAGUUAUACUUAGGUGGUAAAAAGACAGUUAGACUUAAAAUACUUAAAGUUUUUUAACCUUUUAUAAAAAAGUAAAAUUUAUAUAUAAAUAUGUAAUUUAAUAACAACUACAAAGUUGAAUCUGUGAAAGCCUGGAGGGAAACUGGGAUUAGAUACCCCAUUAUUCCUGGUUAUAAAUCAAAAUUAAAUUUACCAGAGUACUAUGAAUACUAUAAAAUUUAAAACUCAAAGGACUUGGCGGUGUUUUAGACCAUUUAGGGGAACCUGUCCCAUAAUCGAUAAUCCACGUUAUACCUAACCUUUUUUUGCUUUCAGCUUGUAUAUCGUUGUCGUCAGGUAACUUUUUAGAAAUUAGAAGUUAGCUAAAAAUUGUAAAUUUAAACGUCAAAUCAAGGUGCAGCUAAUAAAAAGGUGAGGAUGGGUUACAAUUAUUUUAAUUAUAAUUACGGAAAAUCAUAAGAAUUAAUGAUAAUAAAGGAGGACUUAAAAGUAAAUUAGAUUAUAUAAAUAAUUUGAAUAAGGCUCUGAAAUGUGC
rnacentral:rRNA from 1 species